CAAGUCGAACGAAUCCCGGGGGGCAACUCCCGGGGGAAGUGGCGAAAGGGGCAGUAAGGCGUGGGUAACCUACCCCGGGGACGGGCAUAGCCCUCCUAACGGAGGGGUAAUUCCCGGCGAGGUGGCGAGGUCGCAUGGCCUUGCCAUGAAAUGAGUUUCGCCUCGGGAGGGGCUCACGUGGUAUUAGCUUGUUGGCGGGGUAACGGCCCACCAAGGCCGAGAUGCCUAGCGGGUGUGAGAGCACGACCCGCGCCACUGGCACUGAGACACUGGCCAGACUCCUACGGGAGGCUGCAGUCGAGGAUCUUCGGCAAUGGGCGCAAGCCUGACCGAGCGACGCCGCGUGUGCGAUGAAGGCCUUCGGGUUGUAAAGCACUGUCGAGGGGGAGGAAGCCCGCAAGGGUUGACCUAUCCCUGGAGGAAGCACGGGCUAAGUUCGUGCCAGCAGCCGCGGUAAGACGAACCGUGCGAACGUUGUUCGGAUUCACUGGGCUUAAAGGGCGCGUAGGCGGUCGGCCAAGUCUGGGGUGAAAUCUUUCGGCUCAACCGGAAAAGUGCCCCCGAUACUGGCCGGCUAGAGGGAGACAGGGGCAUGCGGAACUUCCGGUGGAGCGGUGAAAUGCGUAAAUAUCGGAAGGAACGCCGGUGGCGAAAGCGGCGUGCUGGAUCUCUUCUGACGCUGAGGCGCGAAAGCCAGGGGAGCAAACGG
rnacentral:rRNA from 1 species